rnacentral:lncRNA from 1 species
UUUGUGCAGUGGAUUGUUGAUAAUGUGGACACACAAGCAGAAGCAACUGUUUUGAACAAGAGCAUUCCACUCAAUGCUCAGUCAGUAGAGUUUGUGUUGGGGAUUCCUUCAGGGUUUUAACUGACAGAGAGAACGUACAACUGGGAGGAGCAAAAGUUUUCCUGUCGUUUAGCUAUACAUGGAUUUUUUUGCUUUUUUGUUGUGUGUUUGUUGCGUCCAUGGACAGAGUCACAGGUACAACGGGCCAAACAGACAGCAAAAACAAAAGGAAACAAACAAACAAGCAAGCCCACACCACAAGCCCAUCACGGGGAAAUAAAACCCAUCAGGAAGGGAUGCUAAGCAGGCCUAAUCUGUCAGGGGUGAUGUCAGCCGACUGAGACUUCACGAAGUGUCAGUCGACUGAGACCUAGACAGUCCCUUACCAAUAAAUCAUUGGUAGCAACAAAUUCAAACAGAUUAUAGGUCGGCAUAUCUGAUAGUAUCAACUCGGCAAUAGUCUUCGACAUCGAUCUAUACUUAAUUACCAAAGUGAGUCAACUAAAGUCUGGUUAUUAUUUUAUGCAUGAAAUAAAUUGAAAACGUGAUGAGCUUAUUUGCUAACUACUCUUAAUUAAGACUUAAGCGUGGUGCUAAACAAGUUCGUAACACCAGGGGUGUUACAAUGAAUAUUCCUCAAUGGACACAAACGGGACGAGCAUCAAGAGAUGUGGAUGAAGUCCACGAGGAGGAUAGUCUUGCUACGGCGAUACAGCAAGCAAUGAUCGUCCAGAUCUAAUCUAGCUUGGACCGUGGUGAUGUCGGCACUAUAGGGGUGGGCUUGCUCGAUGCCCGCGGUUUCGGUGAUGAUAUUGUCGCGGAUGCGUGCCAGCUUCUCCUUGAGGGCAAGCCGUUCCAUGCGCGGAUCGACGAUUUCCUGGUUGAUGUUCUUCCUUUUCAUGCUGGAGAGACCUGGUUAUGUAGUGUUCUGAUCGUAAGGGGAAAAAUUCAUGAAUUUCUUUUCCCAACUGGCGAGGGCGGCAUGGAUGUCCUCCAUGUGGUAGAUCGUAACGUGGCUCCGAGUACCAGAUGUAAUAAGCGUGUCGACGAUAAUGCUAUUUUCCUGCUGACUAGUGGUUUGCAACAGGCGCGUACGAUCGUUGUCGCUGUCAUCCGAAUGUCGAUGUCUCCUACUCCCACCGAACGGUCGCUAUCGCUGUUGUUUUGCUUUUUUUUUUAUUUUCCUUUCCCGAUCGGAAGGAUGAUGUACGUUGUUUUUUUUUCUCACGUAUACUGAUCAUCACUGAAGGUCGCUGUCGUUGCUGUUUUUUUUCGUUUUUUCUUCCAGAUCCAAAGGAUGAUGCCUGCUGUUUUUUUCUCACGUAAUAAUCGUUAGUUUCAGCGAGUAAAAAAUGAUGUGGACAAUAGGAUUCGAACCCCAGGCCGGUUGAUGCAUGGUUGUAUGAUGCCAAUAACCAACACGCCUAAUACUACUUGCUAUGUUAUGAAUGGUACCCAUGUGACCUUUUUAAAGACCAUGGCAGGAAAUGGAAAACGGUUUUUUUGUUGUUUGUCGGCCUUCUCUUGUAUUUCAUCCACUCUAAGAUGAGUGACUCGACUUUGUACUAACUUUGUACAAAGGAAGUACAUCAUUUCCUACUACAUUAUAAGUUGUGUAAUAUCACAGAUGUGAUAUUUUUAUGUACCCUGCUCCUGGUAACUUUGCCGGCGCGAGGGGAGGGUGAUCAAAUAUUCUCCAAUAAUUUUUUGUUAAUAGCAUGGUAACUCACACAUCACAGACCCAAUAACUUAUGCACCCUAGUCCUGGUAUGUUUCGCGAGGGACAAGUGAUGAAAUAUACCCCUCGUAAAUUUUAUGUGCGUAGCACGGUAACUCACACAUCGUAGACCUAAUAACUAAUGUACCGCAGUUUUGACAAAUUUGGCAACUAGAUGGGAGGAGGAGGUGGUUGAUGAAAUAUACCUUUGAUAAUUUUUUGUGUGAAUAACAUGAUAAUUCACAUAUCGCAUACCUAAUAACUUAUGUGCCCUAGUCCUGAUAAAUUUGGUGACGGUGGCGAGGGGUGGGGGAGGGUUGUUGAUGAAAUAUACCUCCGGUAACUUUUUUGUUUGUAGCAUGGUAACUCACACAUCAUAGACCUGAUAACUUAUGCACCCGGUCCUGGUACUUUUCGGGAGGGACGGGUGAUGAAAUAUACCCCCCCGGUAACUUUUAUGUGCAUAGCACGGUAACUCACACAUCGUAGGCAGAAUAACUAAUUUACCCCGGUCUUGGUAAAUUUGGUGACCGGGUGGGAGGCGGGUGGUUGAUGAAAAAUAAUCUUGAUAACUUUUUGUAUGAAUAACAUGAUAACUCACACAUCGCAUACCCGAUAACUUAUGUGCCCUAGUCCUGAUAACUUUGGUGACCGGGUGAGAGGAGGGUGGUUGAUGAAAUAUACCCUUUGGUAACUUUUCGUAUGAAUAACAUGAUAACUCACACAUCGCAUACCUGAUAACUUAUGUGCCCCAGUCCUGAUAACUUUGGCGGCGGUGGUGAGAUGUGGGGGAGGGUUGUUGAUGAAAUAUACCUUUGGUAACUUUUUUUAUCAAUAACAUGAUAACUCACACUUCAUAGACCUGAUAGCUUAGGUAUAAACAACACGGUAACUUUAGACCCGAAUAAAAAGUUAUUGAAACAUACCCCGAUUAUUUUCUGCGCUAAUAGCGCGGUAAUGUAUGCAUCCAGAGCUGAUAACUUAGGUAUAAAUACCACGGUAAAUUUAACCCAGAGGAAAGAAGUCGUUCAAAACACAUCUCCGAUCACUUCUGCAUAAAUAACAUGUUAGUAUACAUAUAACAUAAAUGAUAACUUUACGGUAAUUUUUGACCAAAAAAGUGAUCAAAACAUGCCAACAUAAGAUCAAGUUUCGAAGUUCUCAUGGCGAUGGAUUUUUUAUGUGAAAAUGAUUUUUGAAUAAAAAACGAUAGUUUGAGCUAUAGAACAUUUUACGGUUUCAAAAUAGCGAGAAUUUACAAUGACAUUAGGUUUCUGUGCUCUACUGCAUUUGCAUGUGGAGAGAAUGUUAGAGGAGCCAUUUUUAUGCCCCGGAUAAUUUCUAUGUAAACAGGAUGGUAACUGGCGUACCACAUAGGUGAUAACUUAUUUAGUCUAACUCUAGUAACUUUUAACCCGAAAAAAAUGUCAUUGAAACAUACGAACAUGUGAUCUAGUUUUGAAGGUCUCAUUGCAACGAAUCUUUUAUGUGAAAACGGUUUUUCAAUCGAGCCAACGAUUUGAGCUACAAAACAUUUUGAAGUUUAUUUUGAAUGAAAUCUUUGCCGACAUCAUCUUCUUACUUAUCUACAUGCAUGCAUUGUUAAUGAAUGCUGCUACACACACGACAUAUGUUGGACGACUUGCAGACGACAGUGCAUAUCAAGUCGUCCAUGCGUCAGGUAAAAGUUGAUAGAGCCGUUCAAUCUUGCAUCGUGCAUAGUUCGGCUGGCGCUCGUCGUCUGCCUAGUAGUUUCGUUGUUAAUUGGGUCAAAUAAGACAUGCACUCCAUGCAAAUCAAAGAUAUGUGCAUGCGAGAUUGCAGCGCAACACUGCAUGCGAAAUUGCACCGAGAUGUGAGGAUGUAGGCAAUCGUCCGCAUCUGUCGCUAAAAUCCUGCCAUCUUGGUAAAGCUGGAAGAUCAUCUUUUUAUGCUCGGUAUUUCCUAGGAAAAUAGCUUGGUAACUGUGUGUCACCGUCGUGAUAACUUACAUAGCACAUGUGUUGUAACUUUUGAUCCAGAAAAUAAAUUCGUCGGAACAUAUCAACAUGGGAUCUAUUUUUGAAGGUUUUGUCGCGACGAAUCUUUUAUGUGAAAACAGUUUUUCAGUUGGAGGGACGGUUUGACCUACAAAACAUUUGAAAGUUUAAAAUUUGAUGAAAUCUUCAGUGACAUAAGCAGUUUUGUCCUAUAUACAUGCAUGCAGCUAUUGGGGAAAAUAUUAGAAUGGAUGUAUUUGUUUUUUAUUGAAAAAGAAAAUCAACACAUGACAACACCAGCCCGAGCGACAAUACCUUCGUCCGAUCGUCCGGAUCUCUUGCUAUGGUCCGGACGUCUGGACGUCCGGAAUUACCAACUGAUUUUAUCCAUUGGAUUCAUUAGAACAAAUAAAAGACCCAUAUUGAUUUAACGAGAAUGCUAAUUUCCAGUCGGCAGGAAAUCUGCAACAAAUCCACACGACCUGCGAGCCGUCGGAUAUUCAUCGCACGCAAGCAUCUCUCUCUGCGACUCCCGAUUUUCAGGUGCCUAAUUAACUCCGUUAAUCUCCCUGAUUCCUGAUUUUCAGGUGGUGCGUAAGUAACUUGCCUUAAUCUCUCUGACUCCCGCCGAUUCUCAGGUGCGUAUUUAACUCGCGUUAAUCUCUCUGAUUCCCGAUUUUUCAGGUGGUGAGUAAUUAACUCGCGUUAAUUUUUCUCGGCAAAAAAUAGUGUGCCAACAGGAUUCGAUCCUUGUACCUUUUACCAGGUAACCCACUAACCAACCACCUCACCUAUGUUCCUUUCUCAUAAAAAUGAAAGCAAAUAGGCUUUUUAACUUGUCUCUUUUUCUAUGUUUGCACAAAAGUGAAUGCAAUAUCCGAUCUUUUUCCGCACUUGAGUAGAUUAUUUUACCAACUCGUCUCGAGUUGAUGACACCAUGGUAAUUUUCGCGGGGGAGGUUGAUGAAAUAUACCAUUGGUAAUUUUUGUGUGUAUAGCAUGGUAACUCACACAUCACAUACCUGAUAACUUAUGUACUCGGUACUGAUUACUUUGGUGAUCGGGAGGGAGGCGUUGAUGAAAUAUUCCGGGUCACCUUUGUGUGAAUAUCAUGAUAACUCACACAUCACAUACCUGAUAAACUUAUGCACCUCGAUCCUGGUAACUUUGAGGGAAGUGGUGUUGAUGAAAUAUCCCCAGUUACUCUGAUGUGAACAACAUGGUAACUCAGACAUCAGAGACCCGAUAACUUAUGCACCCCGGUCCUGGUAACUUUGGCGAGAAGGAGUGCUGAAAUAUACCCCCAAUAAUUUAGGCAUCGCAAACAUGAUAACUUUUCCCUCCGCUGGAGGGAGGGGUUUUGAUGAAAUAUACCUUGGAUAACUUCUGUGCAAACAUGAUGAUAGUUUACACAUUACUGUCUUGAUAACUUCUAUGCAAAUAAUAUGAUAACUCAUACAUCGUAGACAUGAUAAAUUAUGUACCCAGUCCUGGUAAAUUUGUCGGCGGGGGUAGGGGUGGGGGAGUCGUUGAAACAUACCACGGUAACUUCUAUGCAAAUAACAUGAUAAAUCACACAUCAUAGACAUGAUAAAUUAUGUACCCAGUCCUGGUAACUUUGUCGGUGGGGGUAGGGGUGGGAGGAGUUGUUGAACCAUACCACGAUAACUCUUAUGUCUACUAUUAAUCUCUACUAUUAAAGGAGAAUCGAACGUCGUGAUGGUUCGACCUCAAACCAUCUCGCGAUGCCCUCGUUCCCUCCAUCCCGCGAUUGCCUCGUUCCCUCCACCCCGUCCUCCUCAUAAUCCUGCUCUACCCACGCACAAUAAAAGAAAAGAAAAAAAGCCACAAUCAAGAACCCACCUCCCACGCCCAAUGCCCAACCCCCUCGCUCCUCCCAAUCCCAUAUCUCUCCCACGCCCAAUGCCCAACCCCCUCGCUCCUCCCAAUCCCAUAUCUCUCCAGAUCUCGAUCUCGGUCCUGCUCCACCACGCGCCCGCCUCCUCCCAUGACUGUGGCCCGACUUCUCCUCCUCCUCCCUCACAAUCGACGUCCCCGCCGUGCCAGCAUAGGCGCCGACGCCGGCGACUCCGGCGCCCACGCUCCUAGCACUCGAGCACCGCCCAUGCAUAGACGCUGCUGUCAGCUGCGUCACCGAGGUCGAGGCCAUCGAAUCAACCCUUGCCCUCGCCUGCGUCAGUGGCUCCGCCCAUCUCGAUGUGAUCUGUUACUCCAUCUCGAACAUCGGACUCAUCUCUAGCGAGUACGGCCUCGGUGCGGACGCUGCGGCGGACAACAAUAGUGCUGGCUAAUCGCUAGCUCGUUCGAGUUAUUGGUCGACGUCGUCCUGCCGCCUCUCUUUGUGUCGGCGCCCACGCCGCACUCCGCACUCUGCAUGUUCUUCGAAAAAGGCAAGGAUAAACACUGAUUUUCACCCCCUCCAGCAGCAAGGUUGUCAUCCCCUCUAUCUCUCAUCUUUUUUUACAUCCUUGUCAUAAUGCUGCUCUGUGUUGCUGUUGUUGCAUGAAUGAAGUGACAUGAUGUUGUUGUAUGAAUAAAAGUGAGGUGUUGAUUUUUGAAUAAAAUUGACUUGUUUGCAGAUUCUUGUAUGGGCAGAAGAAAGAUAGGAUUGACCUUUUGCACUAACAGUUGUAUGGAUGUCGAUGGCUGUCACCGAUCAAAGGAGGGUGACGCCAUACAUUGUGGAGAUGCUGCACUCAACCGACAGCGAGCUCCAAGUCAAGACAGUGUGGCAACCGACGAGCAGAGUCUCCUUGUUGAGGAGGUCCUGUACAUUCCUGCCCUCGCAAGAACCUGCACUGGUUUGAUUUGGUCCAAUUCCAUUUGAUUAGUUGUGGUCGUGCUGAAUUCUCAGAUUCAACAUUUGUUUGGCAGGUCUUUACUCCAGUGGAGUCACUGAGAUAUAAGUAGGACAGGAAGAAAAAGAACGUCAUUAUAUUCAGGUCGAGUGGUAAAUGCUUACAUAUGUUCUUGAUCCCCAGAUAUAACUUGCUUCUAUAUGUACUUUUCUUGUUGGUGAACAUAUAUAACUAGAGAAAAUAUUUUGUGUGGUUUUAACAUGUUCUAAUUGUGAAAAUCCAUAAUUUGAUACCCAUCUUUUAUUUGUGUUUCGAUGCUCAUAUUGCAUGGUUCAGAGACUUCUUCAACAUUACAGAAAGGUGGAGUAAAUACUUUUGUUACAGAAUUCUAGGCAUUAGUUAAAACAGUAAUGAAGUCAAGAAGAAGUGAGAGCAGCUUUUGAUGUUUGUUCGCUAUGGUCUUCUUCAAUUUUCGUAAGGGCAUUUGCUGCCAUCUAACACAGGAGCGGGAGUGGUAGGACCGCAUGAGGCGGGAAGUGCCCGGCCAUUGGGGAUCCGGACGAGGUCGCCAACAAGAUCACCUCGUCCUCGACUGUAGAUUAUCCACCUCUGAACCUCCCGCCGUUCCAGUUGCUUUAGUUCAGUCCCCAUAUUUCUUGUGGAUAUCUAUUACAUAAUUGACAAUGACAGCCAGAAGCUCACUCUUGGGCAUCAUCUCAGAUACCUGCGCCAUCCAUACCAACUACAUAAGAUCAGGGCUCCUCUGCUUGAACACUUCACCUCCCUUUCCUUCCCGUUCCUUCAACGAGGCAACUAUAAGUACUCUAUGAGUAUCAUUUCCAGUUUGCCGAUGAUUGUUGUCUUACUUGAGAUUUAGCGGCUUGUUCCUUGUAGGAUAUCUUACUCUCAGAUGUCGCUAGCCAUUGCCUUGCUUCUGCAACACUUCAACCAAUUGUUGAUUAUUGUCAACAUUGGGAGGAUCACUUAGUUGUACAGUUUGUUGCACAAUUUUAUGGUAAAGAUGUAAAACAAUUCUAAUGUUACCAUCAAGUAAUCAGUUUUAUCUUGAUUGUGGAGGUCGCCCAUUUUGUAGAAGAUUCUCUAUUGUAUUCACCUUUUGUGCAUAAAAAUAGAUUAUGGCUUUUAUGAUUGACAUUCCAGACUCUUAUCUUCAGUGCAUUUGGACUUUGGAGUCUUGUGGCAUAUCAGCAUUCAGCAGUGUUCAACUCACUUGUGUUCUUAAAACUCAUAUUAUCGACAGAUAUAUAUGAAGUUAUUGUCAUGUGUGCACAUACAUCCCUAACUGAAAUUAUCCUAAUACGGUAGUUAUCUUUCCUUCCAAGUUAGUUCUGGAGUUUUCUGUCUGCACUGAAAUAUCUCAGGUCUACAAUUGGUUUUUGUUUUGUUUUUCCGAGAAUGCCUACCAUUAUUUUAGUUAUUGUGUGCAUCAAUUCUAACUAAAUGUUGCAGGAAUCAAAACUAUCUUCGGUGGUCACAUCAUUGCUGGGACCUACGGUGAGAAACUAAUUGUUGGGGUCUAUGAUAGCACCAACAUGGUCGUGCAGGAGUUGCCUUCUAGGGCCUUGCUAAUAUACCAGAGCUCUGUUGUUAGCUUAGUCUUUCAUUGGGUCACCAAGAUCUGUCAUGAAUUUCUUCAUUGAUAAUAACUAGGCCCUAAUGGCACUUACAUGGAUGAUUCCUUUGUUGGCUGCACUGGAGAUGGAUGAGGUUGUAAAAUGAGGGGCUCCUGAUGAUGAUAUGCUUGCUGGCUGAAUGAUCAUGUACCAUGUCAGUUUGUUCUUACAGAUUUCAUGUGCCUUUUCUAAGCUUCUUUGUUUUGGUGUGCAAGUAUCUUGAAAUAUAAAGCAACUGGUUGGCCAGGGUUGUCUGCCACUAAUAAGAAUUUUUAUGGACAUGCAUGUAAAAGAAAAGUAGUGGUUAUGAAUAUAAAACAAAUUAUAGUACCUUCGUUGUAAAUUGUAAGAUGUUUUGGAUAUUUUAAUAUGGACUACAUACACAGUGGACUGAAUGAACAAGCACACUAAAAUGCGUCGACAUACAUCCGAAUCAGAAAAACACUAGAACAUCUUAUAAUUUGAAACAGAGGGAAUAUUAAGCAAAUGUUCUUCUAUUCCUGAGUAUUGUUUGUUUGUUGUGGACCUUGCAUGGCCUAUUGAUGUGGUGAAAAUUCUCUAAUAUACCUUCUCCCGUUUACUAUAUAUGCCUGUUUGUUGAUUCUGUAAUAAUAUAUGCUAAAGGUGCACGGUACAGCUAAUAUUUCUUUUUUCUUUUUAUCUUCUGCCCAUGAUGAUAUGCAGGCAUACAUAGGGUAAGGUGUCACCUUAAAUGGAAGCUAAGCGCAAGGUCAUAUUUUUUGUAAUAUAAAAAUAAGCCAAUACAAACUAUUCAAAUAAAUAAAUAAAACCAGGACACUUGCUUUGUGGAUUACAAGAUGAUUAUACAACUAUCUCUGUGUCGUAAAAAUAUCUUUAUGCCUAAACUUAUUAUUAUGAGGCAGUGUACAAGCAUUGUUUCUGGACGCCAAUAUCUCUCAAGCCAUAUGAGAUUUGAGCAAGAGCAUGUUAGGCCAAUAUCUCUCAUGGAUUGGGCUCUUUCAGUGAUGGGUUUUUAGGGCUAUGGAAGAGCAAUUCUAUGACCAUAUGGUCAAACAACGAAGGAGUACAAGGGGGUGAUCACGUGUCCGCGAUGGCGGCGAGACAACUCGCGAGGUUGGAUUUGUGUAGGCGUGCAGUAAGGAUGGUGAGCAACAAGUAAAAUUGAUGAUCCGUGGCAACGCACGGGUAUUUAGCUAGUGCAAAUAACAUGAUAACUCACACAUCGCAGACUUGAUAACUUAUGUACCUGAUCCUGGUAAAUAUGGCGAGUGUGGCGAGGGGGGUGAUGCCCCGCUAAUUUCUGUGUAAAUAACAUGAUAAUAAAAACAUACAAAAUUGAUCACUCCCAUACAAACGCCACUGUAACUUUUGACCUGAAACUUUUUUGUUGAAAAACAUACAUCCAAUAAUUUCUGUGUAAAUAACAUGAUGAUGUAUCAUCGCAGACUUGAUAACUAAUAUUUUACAUUUAAACACCAUGGUGUCUUUCAUUCAAGGGAAAAAAGUUUUUAAAACAUUUCACCGGUAAUUUCUAUGUUAAAUUACCAUACUUCCCCAUGCUUUUAACUUUCUCGUACUGUAGUUACCAGCCUUAUCAUGGUAUAGUUAUCAUGUUGCUCAGACCAUAGUUAUCACGCUGGUCAUUGCCAAAGUUACCAAACCAAACUUUAUUUUUUCUUCUGAUAUGGCAGAAAUAAGAAAGGUUCAAAUAACAUUGUCAUUCUACAAUAGACAACAACAAAAGGUGGUUUAGUUGGUUAUUAGGCUCGAUAGGUAUUACAUAGACCUGGGUUCAAAUCCUCUUUCAAGCACUUUUAUUUUCUUUUCAUAUUAUGUAGCGAAAAAACAGAAAAAACCACUAGCAAUUUACUACGGUGAAAAACCAGAAAAAACUACUAGCAAUUUACUAAGGUUUUUGAGAGAAAGAAAAAAAUCAGUGAAAGUGAGCGAACGACCAGUCGACUGAUCGUUAGCACAGUCCUUAUAUUUAUAGUUCUAAGAGACUUAGCCCCUAAGCAACCUCGGAGUCCUUAUAGGAUUUGGAUUUUCCUUCCUAACAAAACAAACUCAAUCUCUUAACUAUUUCCUAAUCUAACAAGACUCGAUAAGACAGCUUGACGGCUGCGGCUGCGGCACUGAUGGUGCCCUGCCGGCCCUCCUGGGCCCUUGCUGGAUCGUAUGUAUGACAAAGGGCUUUGCCAAAUUUAUUAAUAAAAGAGAGAGAAAAGAUAUCUCAUGAUCAAGAGGUGUCAUGCACAUAUUCUAAAAUCAUGUGAGGUUGUCACGUACUAACGUGAGGCUAUAUCUCCACACUAUGAGUUAUAUGCUAAAAUUUAAUACUAUUAAAAAAUAAUUCAUAUUGUAUAUAUAUGAGCUACACUAGUAGAAAACACGGCUUUGGUUCGGUCCUGGCCAGCCCAUUAGUCCCGAUUCAGUUAUGAACCAGGACCCAUGGGGCAUAUGUCCCGGUUCAUGAGCCCAGGAGGCCGGCCGGAGCCUCGUGGGCACUGGUCCCGGUUAGUCUGGACCCAUUUGUCCCGGUUCCUGGCACGAACCGGGACCAAUGGGCCUCGCUUCUGGCCCACCUACAUUUGUCUCGGUUCGUGGCAGAAGAGGGGGCUUUAAUCCCGGUUCCAGCCAUGAACUGGGACAAAUGAGUUGCCUAUAUAUACCUCAUCGCCGCCGCAGAGCACUCCACAGUGCUCUAUUUUUUCUGGCCGGUAAGGGGAGGGCAUUUGGGUGCUCUAGCUCACCUCCUAUGAACAUGAGGUGUUCGAUGAAAUGCCCAAGCCACACUAGUUAAGCUUUCUCCUCUUGAAGCUCGACCUCCAAGCUCCAUUUUUCCCCGAGAUUUUCAUAGGUUUAGCGGUCUGUCACGUCAUGUCCCCGUCUUCACCGCCGUCGAUCUCCCGCGCCGAUCUCGUCGCCGGCACCACCGUGAUGAGCCUAUUUUUCUUAUCUUCUUUCUGAAAGAAAAGAAUCCUUACUUUAGAUAGAUACUUGUCUAAUUUUCUUACUUUUAUUAUUGCUUGUCAAUGAGAACUAUGUAUGUACAUUGGUUUUAAUGUGAUGAUGAACUUCUAUUAAUUUGGUCACUUAUCUAUUUAUGAUAUUUUGUAAUGAUUUUAGACACACUUAAUUAUAUAUAAUGCACGCAGAUGAACCGGCAAUGGAUGUAUGGUGACAGACAAACCUCUAAAUACGUUCAGGGCAUGCAUAAUUUUCUCGAAGUGGCUGACGCAAACAAUGCAACACGGCAGGAGAGGACAAGCGCGACAGCUCGCGUGCUCGGUGCAGCGUGCGCUUGCAUGCAUGUGCCUCUGUGCAUGUGUGGCUGCUUGUGUAUUGGCUGUGUGCGAGCACAGGAACGCACUACAGAUUCGGAUUCCAACAUGCGUAGAAAAAAUACCUUUCACUUCUUUUGAUCUCCAUCUUUGAUUAAAGGAGACUAGUCGACUAGGAGACAAACAUACUGAGAGCUUACAGUGCCCGUGUGUCGUGGAUUUGUCACGGCAGAUGUCCUUAGUGUCAGGACUUAGUCGCGAGGUCAACGCAUCUAUGUGGUAGCUUGAGAGGGGUUGAGCGGAAUCGAGAGACGCAACACAAGACAGGGAUUUAGACAGCUUCGGGCCCCGGGAAACAUCAUCCGGUAAAAACCCUACAUGCUGUUUGAGGCUAGGUCUCAUUAUCAUCACGAGGGAGUCGCCGUAAACCGGCUCUCCUCUUUGUGUCUAGCCCUAGAUUGUUUCUUGUUGCUUGUAGCUUGUCCUUUCUAACCUGUCCCUCUUUGGGGAGCCCUGCCCCUCCUUAUAUAUGUUGAAGGGGCGGGUUACAUAUGGAGUCCUAUUAGGAUAAGGACUAAUCUAUCUCUAAUACAAACCGGAUACAAGUCCGGGUCUUCCUUGUAAGGUAAAUAUUCCUCCUGCCUUUCCUCUUAAACUGGCCCACCAUAGUAUGAACCGGCCUUCUGGGCCAUGGGCCUCGUCAUCCAUCUGACCCGCCCGCCGGGUUACUGAUGAACCGCCAAGACCGGGCGGGUAGCCGGUGAAUCAUCCAGUCCUGGCCGGUUUAUACUCCCGGCCGAUUUACGCCACGGGGUAUAUCCCCGACAUUAGCCCCCAGUUUAAUUUGGAUUUAUCCAUGUUAAACUGAUCCUGUAAAACAAAUACAAGAACAAAUUUGAUAGACUAUGCUCCUGGUUAAGAAUUCUUGUAAACUGGCAUCUGAUCAUUCUGAAGUCCUUGUCAUUUCCUUCUUCUAGAAAAUCCGGAUCAAUAACCAGCUUCAUACUCAAAUUGUUGAUGUUGGCUUCUUAUAAAAAAUAUUGUGAAGAAUAAUCCACUUGAGUCGGCUUCCAGAGCGCCGGUUUGAAGAUGUAGAACUUGCCGGUUUAUGAUUACCACCAUUGUCUGGUUAUAAAAACUGAUAAUUCCGGGUCAUGAUUGUUCCCAACGCCGGUUUAAUCUGGUUUACUCCAAACUGAAAAUUUGGAAGAUACUUCUCCCUUAUAUCCAUAUUACCUGUAGCCCCAAGUCUUGAACAAAACAAAGUUAUGGUUUAAGAAUUGCUUCAAUAUCAAUACUGCCACUUUUGAAGAAAUCCAUGUUGUUCAUCCCAGUCACUAGUAAAAACUGAACACUCCAUGUUAUGUAGCCCCCAAGUGCCGGGUUGUCAUGCUUGCAGCAACCUGGGACUUGCAAUUGUCUUAUACUCAUAAAAACUUCAACCAGUGUAGCCCCCAAGAGCCGGGUCAUUAUGCAAUAAUGAGCAGGGACUUUGUAGGUAUAAUCAUGUAGAUUUGAGCAAUGAUGUGUAGCCCCCAAGGGCCGGCUCAGUAAGAUAAUAUUGAGCUGGGACUUUAAUAUAUAUAAUUCAAUGAAAAUAACAUCAUAUGAUGUAACCCUCAUCAUGGGACUUGAAUCCACGUCCACAAGGUUAAGAGCCUUGUGCUUUACCAACUGAGCAGUGGACUCUUCAAUAUAAUGAAUAAAAAGCUUUGUACCUUCAACUGUUGACAGGAGCAAUUGGUAGCCCCCAAGGGCCGAUUCAUUAUAAUGUGAUGAGUCGGGUCUUCAAUAAUAUGAGCAGAAAAUUACUUUGCAUUAGCCCCCAAGUGCCAUGGUGCAUGCUUGCAGCGACAUGAGACUUGCAUGUAAUCUCAAUUUGAAUAAUGUAGCCCCCAAGUGUCGGGUCGUGUGCCUGCAGCGACUCGGAACUAUUCCUUCCAUUGUAGAAUAAAUCAUAUCCUUUGAUAAAAUAAUAACUGUUGCGCUAAAGCGACUUUGAAAACUCAAAAAUACCGGUUACUAAUAACCAUAAAAAUCCAGCCAUGUUGGCUAUUCAAGAUAAUAUAAUCCGGUAUGAAAAAAUUCAUCCAAUAUCAUAAUGAAAAUUCAGCCAAAUUUGGCUAUUUGAAUAAUAUAACCCAAUCAUUUAUAAGCGCAUGAUUUCAAUGGCGCAAUCCAAAUAUAUACUGGCGACGUAUAGUCCAAAGCCAGGCCGGUGUAAUAAACUCGAAUAAUUUCCCAUCAUAUACUGGCGACUUAUCGUCUUAAAGCCAGGCCGGUUUAAUAAACACCGGAUAAUUUAUCAUCAUGCUUUAUUCAACCUGUCUCUGCAUACAACAAGUUUAAAGUGUCCUGGCAGUUUACCGCCGGACGGGUCAUAAUGCCCAACAUAUAACCCAGGUUUAUAACCAAGGCUGCACUUAAGAAUAAUCAAUGAAAUAUAUCAUACCUGUGAUAUUGAAUCACAUCAUUGGUUUACCAAUUUUUUGUAGUAAGAGUGAUAACCCCAAUCUUGAGUAAUGAUAACUCCUUUCAUACUGUGCCGGUUGAUGAUAAACCGUACCGGAUUGUGAUAAACACCGGUUUAACCAUAUAUAAUACUGGCGACUCGUAGUCAAACCAGACCGGGCUGAUAGUCUCCGGAUUAUAACUUGAUCCUGUAUUGACAACUUGUAAUUGAAAGUCAAGCCGGGUUGAUAAACACCGGUUUACUCCAUAAUAGGAUGGUAACAGAAAAUCAAACCGGGCAGAUGGCCCCCGGAUUAGGACUUGACCGUGUUCCGUCAAUUUGUAAUUGACAGUUGAACCGGAUUAAAACGUUGUCGGCUUAAAAAACGCAACAAAAAUCAAAUAACAGUUAUGCAAAAAAAAUAUGGAAGCAAAGGCAAUGAUAAGACCAUUUGCAAAAAGAGGCUUUACUGAGCCGAUCAGAUGGUGUUACCAUGGUCGGACACGACCAAGCUCCCAAUAAGGUGUAGCUAUGGUUCAAGUCAGCCAGGUCCCCAAAUGAUUCGUGGGAUAUAUGCCAGAUCAAGAGGCAUGGCAAUGGUUCGGGUUCGACCAAGCCCCCAAGUGAUUUUGUGGCCUUAGGCCGACCAAGAGGCGUGACUGGUUCAGACUUGACCAUGUCCCCAAGUGAUCUGGUGGCUGUCGCCUAUCAAAAGGUGUCGCGUUGGUUCGGACACAACCAAGGCCCCCAGUGAUGUUAUGGCACUAGGCCGAUCAAGAGGCGUGGCUAUGGUUCGGAUACGACCAAGACCCCAAGUGAUGUUGUGGCACUAGGCCGAUCAAGAGGCGUGGCUAUGGUUCGGAUACGACCAAACCCCCAAGUGAUCAAUAAUAUGAUAAGCCAAUAAGCCAUGAUACCCAUGUUUGGACCGCGCAUCAUGGCAGCAGGUCCUCUUUGGCACCCUUUAACUUUUUGCAAGAGAUAAAACCUUCUUGAACCGGGAUUUUGAACCGGAUAUUGAGAGCUUCAAGGAUUUGUGGGAGACAUCUUUCCCUUGAACCGGAUUGUAAACCGGAAUCUUCAUUGGCAGCCGGAAAUUUUCUGAUGGCCUUUCAACUCGAACUUGCGAGAAGUUAAUUCCUUUUUGAACCGGACAUUGUUAAACCGGAUUUGGGAGCUUCAGUGAGACUGGCUCCCCUUGAGCCGGAUUUUAAACCGGAAUCUUUUCUGACGACCCGGAACUUCUUCAUUGAGCCGGGAUUUUAUAAUUGUCAUAUACUUUCUAAACCGGAAAUUUUCUGACGGCCUUCAAAUAACAGUAGCCCCCGGGACCGGGUUAUCUUUCCCUCCAUUGUCCUGGGGUUUUUAAAUUUGCUGAAACUGGCAAGACUUGUUGCGUCAUAUCAUCGUAGCCCCCGAGUCUCAAGGUGACUCGAAGAGUUGGCUUGAGAUUCUCCAUAUUUGACCGUCAUAUAAACCGGCAUAACUUGUAUAUCAUUGGUGUUGAUAGCACGAUGUGAAUCCACAGAAGGUUGAGGUGACUGCGGCGGGUUAUAAAUGAUCCGGUAUGAGCCGUGUCAGCAACUCGGCCAAUGGUUCCUUCCAACUGGUGAUUUGAAGUUAACCAAACUGUAAUGGCGGUGACUUGUGCGCCUGCCCAGUGAACCACCCAGUGCAGAUAGCAGUUGAUAGUAUAUGAUAAUUUGCCUCUAUUUUGCUUGAAAGAAAACCGGGCUAUCCAAGCUGUGACUUGCUCAAAUUCAAUAAACAGCUCAUGCAGACAGGUGCGGCCCGGUGUGUUGAUGUAGACCAGGCCGCGAGAGACGGACAGUAAAGACGACCAUAGUAUUAGAGGCGGCACUUGCACAUAAUAAUAGUGGCGCGAGCUAUAUAUCCAAGGCACGGCCAUAUCUUUUGCAGUGAACAAUUGCUCCUGCAUAAAUAAUAUCGCAAGCCGGUGUAAUUACUCUUUUAAAGAAAGAAAUAUAUAAUAUAAAAAUAUACUGGAUUGAUUUCACCGGAUAUGUUGAGCCGGAAUUUAUCCGUCGCAGAGUUGAUGAUCACUGCGGUGAAGCUGAAAUCCAUGACGGGCGAGUCGGCCAUGGGAGCAGACCGAUGAAUCGGCUACGACAUUAUCAGUUGGCACGGCCGGGUGAGUCGAUCACAGGCGCAGACAGACGAGCCAGCCACGGCAUUNNNNNNNNNNNNNNNNNNNNNNNNNNNNNNNNNNNNNNNNNNNNNNNNNNNNNNNNNNNNNNNNNNNNNNNNNNNNNNNNNNNNNNNNNNNNNNNNNNNNNNNCGAUGUGUGUUCCGGUUCAUCAGCGUGAUAUGCGCAGAUGCCGGUGUAGAACAGCUAGCGCGCGCCGUCCGCGGUUGGGCAUCACUUUCAUAGUGAGCAAUUGUCCUGUGUAUAAAAGGAUAUAGGCCAGAGUAAUUGUUCUCACACAAAGUAUGUGUUGGUAAAAUACGUAGGAGGGGUAACACCUGAUUCACCCGGACAACCGAUAAAUCAACCAUGGCAUUGUAAGCCAGUGGAGACAGGGAGAGAUGGCACCAGCGUUGUAAGUCGGCGCGGACGGGCGAGUCGGCCGUUUUGUUGAUGUAAACCGGUCCGGACGGAUGCUGGUCGUAAGAUGGUGCUUUCGGGCGCUCCGUACCCGUGAUAUGAUGUCACAUUUAUAAUGAAUCCUUGCCCUACACGUUAAAAUAUACAUCCCAGAAUAUUGUUCUUGAUAGAAUAGAUAUGUUUACAAAAAUAGAUUAGACGGAUAUCACCUGAUUUAUUUUCCGGAUGAACGACGGAUACCAGCACUAGAUAACGUUCGACGUAUUCCGGUGCGGCCUAUGUAAACAAGACUAACAGACAGCCUCCGUAUCAAGUAUGCUGAUGAUUUCCUGUUCUGCACAAGGCGCGUGCAUGGUCGGAGUUGUUCAGCGUAGUGCUGCGCUGAUCAUCCCAACAGAGAAUUUAAUCCACUGUGUAGACACAGUAACACGUCGUGGCUGGUUUGUAGACCGAUAAAACGAGGCAGCAUGCGACGGGAAUCCUGGAAGACUGGCAACACGCGGCGGCUGUUCUGUUUUUCUUUCCUUCAGCCCGAGCCCGAUUAAGUGUCCACACCGGUAUACUGAUGUACUUGGCUUGGUCUUUUUCCUCCUUGAUUUGACCUGCCUUGGAUGACGUGCGUGUGUACGCCGGCUUGGUGGUACAUGCAUGCUUGGGACUCUGGGCGUACAUCUCCUUUACUUUUGUUUUGAUGUGGUCACCGAGACUUGCAGAUCGCAUCAUGGGAUUUUUUUUUUCAAAUCCGAAUCCUUGUAUUAGUUGCUUCUCGUCUCGUAGUAGGAAUUGGAGUAGCACUACUACUAGUCUGUACUGAUUGCUUUGGUCCUUACGCCUGAAGAGCAGCAGCAGGAAAGAUUCGCUGUGGGUUGAUGCGUGUGUGUACGGCCAGAGCAGAUGUACGAAUAUUGGAUAACUAUGCACGCAUGCGUUGACCGUCUUUGCUUGUUGGUGCGAUCGACAUGCAAUCUGACUGCGGUAUGAUGAAAAAUCAAACUGGUCUCGGCUGACUGCUUCGGUUUAGCGGUAGCCGAAAAAAUCUUGUUUGAUGUCGGCGAAACCUGCGGCCAGGCGGUUUAAACGGAUCUUGCUCCUUUCUGUUUUAUUGAUGGUGGCGUCUGCACCCGAUCCAACCCUAACUGGUUCUUGUCCAAGAUUAUCCCCUGGCGGGUUAUCCUCUGUGGUUGCUUCAUGCCGGCUCUUCUUCGUCCGGUCAAACGCAAACUUCUUGAUCCCUAAAGAGUUCCCUCCAAGAACUCAACACCACCGUGCGCGAGCCCCACGGUGGGGGCCAACUGUCGUGGAUUUGUCACGGCAGAUGUCCUUAGUGUCAGGACUUAGUCGCGAGGUCAACGCAUCUAUGUGGUAGCUUGAGAGGGGUUGAGCGGAAUCGAGAGACGCAACACAAGACAGGGAUUUAGACAGCUUCGGGCCCCGGGAAACAUCAUCCGGUAAAAACCCUACAUGCUGUUUGAGGCUAGGUCUCAUUAUCAUCACGAGGGAGUCGCCGUAAACCGGCUCUCCUCUUUGUGUCUAGCCCUAAGAUUGUUUCUUGUUGCUUGUAGCUUGUCCUUUCUAACCUGUCCCUCUUUGGGGAGCCCUGCCCCUCCUUAUAUAUGUUGAAGGGGCGGGUUACAUGUGGAGUCCUAUUAGGAUAAGGACUAAUCUAUCUCUAAUACAAACCGGAUACAAGUCCGGGUCUUCCUUGUAAGGUAAAUAUUCCUCCUGCCUUUCCUCUUAAACCGGCCCAUCAUAGUAUGAACCGGCCUUCUGGGCCAUGGGCCUCGUCAUCCAUCUGACCCGCCCGCCGGGUUACUGAUGAACCGCCAAGACCGGGCGGGUAGCCGGUGAAUCAUCCAGUCCUGGCCGGUUUAUACUCCCGGCCGAUUUACGCCACGGGGUAUAUCCCCGACACCGUGUGUGCUGAGUGUGUCAACAACGCGGUGGUUGGUGCAAUGCACAGCUGAGAACGUUAUCUUCACAACUGGGACCAUUCACCUGGUAUUUUGCGUCCAUCAAGCGAUUGAUUAUGAGAGGUUAUAUUACUACGGAAAUUGUACUGCUACAGGUAGUUCCUAAUUAGAAUGUCAUUUAGUACGGUUGUUGUGUAACAUGGAUCUAAGGUUAAGAUACAUCUAAGGAGCUUUGUGCUUGUAAUAAACAAUAGCCAUAUGCAUUAGUCAAUGUAGAAGGUGUGAUAUUAAUAUAUUUCCUUUUCUAAAAAAGAAAGAGCUUACAGUGCCGGUGUGUGCUGAGUGUGUCGAGGAAACAGCAACAGCGCGGUGGUUAGUGAUGCGAUGCACGGCUGAGGGAGCUCUCGCGCAGGCGGCUCGCUGCGUCCAAGGCUCCGACUACAGGAACGUGCCAAGUAGGGUUUGUAAAGCGACGCAAAAACGGCUACACGUCUCACCUGAACUUCAACCGUUUCUACAACCCCAAAGCCGAGGUUCCCAACUAUCCAUCGAUGCAAUUUGGUACUACUUCUCUCUUAGUUUACAGGGCGUGCGCGUACCCCUAGAUCCUCAAUUUGACUAACCUAAUACAAGUCAUAUAUUACAAAAAAUAUACCAACAUAAAAUUUGGAGUUUCUACUUUCAAAAGGUAUAAUUUUUGUGUUAUAUAGUUUACAUUAGGGUGAUAAAAUUGGCAACCUAGGUAUACGCGUAGGACUUGUAAACUGAAACGGAGGUAGUACUACAACUUUAUUUAAGCACUAAACAUUGGUUACAUUAUAUUUUUGGUUAUAGAAAUUGUUUUUCAUGCCAUAACAAAUAACAACCUAUUCCCAAUUUGUUUGUUAGAAUUCUUAUUAGGCAUUAUCAAUCCCUCGAAUAAAUUAAUGUACAAUAUAAACUUUAUUUCUUUUAAUUACCAAAGUGACAUCUAAAGUCUGGUUAUUAUUUUAUCGCGAAAUAAAUUUAAAAUGUGAUGAGCUUAUUUGCUAACUACUCUUAAGACUUAAGCAUGGUGCUAAACAAGUUCGUAACCCCAGGGGUGUUACAAUGAAUAUUCCUCAAUCGACACAAACAGGACGAGCAUCACUACUAGGACCAAACCUGUCAACUCCAAUCAACAAUAUACCAUGUACACAUCUUCCUAUCGGGUUUUAACUUCAUAGCUAACAUGUUUCGUUAAUAUAGUAGCAAGUAAAUUAAUAACUGAGUUACUCUAUCAUUCGCCGGUGACAACCAAAUCACCAAUUUUGUUUUCCUCCAAUAAACACGAGUGUGCGUACUAUAUAUUAAGAAAAGGAAUGGGGUGAAGAGCCCCUCCACGAUAUUGUUAUAUGAUUUUACAUGCAAAACAUCACCAGCUGAACACCCUACCCUCUAUUGCUAAGGUAACUUGCCGCACUAGCCCGCCGUUCCACUUGGUUGAAGAAGCCGUUAAGGUCUCCUUUUAAGUAAUCCCGUUUGUUUCAAAUUGUGCCCCUCCUCCGUGAUCCUAUGGAGUACAUACACUAGUAGAAAACAGGGCUUUGGUUGGGGCCUGGCCAGCCCAUUAGUCCCGGUUCAGUCACGAACCGGGACCCAUGGGGGCAUACGUCCCGGUUCGUGAGCCCAAGGAGCCGGCCGGGGCCUCGUGGGCAUUGGUCCCGGUUCGUCUGGACACAUUUGUCCCGGUUCCUGGUACGAACCGGGACCAAUGGGCCUCGCUCCUGGCCGACAUACGUUGAUCCCGGUUCGUGGCUCGAACCGGGACAGAAGGGGAGCUUUAGACCCGGUUCCAGCCACGAACCGGGACAAAUGAGUUGCCUAUAUAUACCCCAUCGCCGCAACAGAGCACUCUACAGUGCUCUGUUUUUUCUGGCCGGCGAGGAGAGGGCAUUUGGGUGCUCUAGCUCACCUCCGAUGCACAUGAGGUGUCCGAUGAAAUGCCCGAGUCGCACUAGUUAAGCUUUCUCCUCUCGAAGCUCGACCUCCAAGCUCCAUUUUCCCCGAGAUUUGCAUAGGUUUAGCGGUCCGUCACGUCCCGUCCCCGUUUUCACCGCCGUCGAUCGCCCGCGCCGAUCUCGUCGUCGGCACCACCGUGGUGAGCCUCUCGUUCUUAUCUUCUUUCUGAAAGAAAAGAAUUCUUAGUUUAGAUAGAUACUGUUCUAAUUUUUUUACUUUUAUUAUUGCUUGUUAUUAUAUAGUGCGAUGGUUUUGGUAUCCGCCCCCAUCGGCCCUUUUCCUGUCUAUGAUUCAGAUGUGGUAUAUAAUAUCUUUUUAUAACUAUUUUUUUCAUUUAUUGUUUAUGACAAUUAUGCCGACCUAUGUGACAUAGAUUUUAUUUAUGUAGGAGGUAGUUGAACCAGAAAUUCCAACCGACCGUAUUGUAGAGAGGUUAAAUUUAGUUGAAGAAGAAAACAAUUACUUGAAGGAAAAAAUAAAAAAAAUGAGGAGGAGAAGAUGAUAUUGGAGUUGCAUGUUGCGGAUGUAGUCGAUGAUCACAAGAUCAAGAUGGAUGCAAUGCGGUUGAAGAUUAGAAAGAUUAGAAAAUAUGCCAUUCAUACCGAGACUUGGUAUCAUUAUGCCAUUGGAUCAAUUUUUACCUUGGUUGCGAUUAUGAUCGUAUUUCUUGUUGCAUUGAAAGGUUUUACAUAGUUUUAAUGUAUGGUUUAACUAGAUGCUCGGGAGAGCUAUAUUUUGUUCAAUGAGAACUAUGUAUGUACUUUGUUUUUAAUGUGAUGAUGAACUUCUAUUACUUUGGUCACUUAUCUAUCCAUGUGAAUCUGUAAUGGUUUUUGACAAACAUAAUGUGAUGAUGAACUUCUAUUAAUUUGGUCACUUAUCUAUCCAUGUGACUUUGAAUGGUGCAUUUUGAACACAUAAAAUGUCUGGAGUUCAAAUAAGUUCAAAAAAAUGAAAUCCCUUUGUAGCAGAAGAGUUUUCGUCCGAAACCCUGAUACUUCAAAAGAGAUUGUCCAUUUUGUACACGAGAUGCAUCCAGUUUUUCCCGUCACCCUCUCAACUUUUUAGCACAUGCUUUGUGGGUGAAAUGAUGAUACCAUGCUAACUUUCAAGCUUUUUAGAGUUCAUUUGUAGUGCUUUUCAAUUUCAGGGUCAUUUAGCUCAAAAAAACAGUAAAUGCACGAAAAAUAACAAAUGAAGUCAAAAAGGGUUGAAAAUUGAUGAUGUGGCUUUGAAUGGUGCAUUUUGAACACACAAAAAGUCUAGAGUUCAAAUAAGUUCAAAAAAUGAAAUCCCUUUGUAACAUAUGAGUUUUCGUCCGAAACCUACUUCGAAAGAGAUUGCCCGUUUUGUACAUGAAGUGCAUCUAGUUUUCGCCGUAACCCUCUCAACUUUUUAGCACAUGCUAUGCGGGUGAAAUGAUGAUACCAUGCCAACUUUCAACCUUUUCAGAGUUCGUUUGUAGUGAUUUUCAAUUUCAGGGUCAUUUAGUGCAAAAGAAUGAACUAAUAGCAAAAAUAAUGAACUUAAAAUAAUCAAUUAAAAUAUUAUGUUAUGAUCAACUAAAACAAAACUAUAAUAUUCUUCAAUAGCAAAAACAAUCAACUAAAAAGUUUUUAUAAAACUCUAAUAGCAAAAGGAAUCAACUAAAAAGCUUUUGUAAACCUCUAGUAUUUUUUAAACUAAAAUUAUGUAAAACUUAUGCAACUAAAAGCAUGAAAGAAUUAUGAAAACAUGAAAAGCAGAAAGAAUUAUCAUAAAGAUUUUUUUGUUAGAAACUUUAGUAGCAAAAAUAAUUUUCAUAAAGAAUUUUUUUGAUACAAACUAAAAUACAAAAUCAGUUUUUUAAUAUAUUGAUAAAACGCAGUAAUAUUAAAUAGCAGGAAAAAGAAUCACUCAAAAUAUAUUUUUAUAGUGAAGUUAUUUACAAACUAGUGAUUCACACAAAUUUCAAAGAAUUCUAAUUUGGAAACUAAUGGCACUAACAGAAAGUUUAUAAUUAUUCUGACCUAAAAGAAAAAAAAUAAAAAAAUAAAGUGAAAAUUAAAAGAAAAUAAAUAAUUCAAAAAAACAAAAAAAAUACUGGAANNNNNNNNNNNNNNNNNNNNNNNNNNNNNNNNNNNNNNNNNNNNNNNNNNNNNNNNNNNNNNNNNNNNNNNNNNNNNNNNNNNNNNNNNNNNNNNNNNNNNNNNNNNNNNNNNNNNNNNNNNNNNNNNNNNNNNNNNNNNNNNNNNNNNNNNNNNNNNNNNNNNNNNNNNNNNNNNNNNNNNNNNNNNNNNNNNNNNNNNNNNNNNNNNNNNNNNNNNNNNNNNNNNNNNNNNNNNNNNNNNNNNNNNNNNNNNNNNNNNNNNNNNNNNNNNNNNNNNNNNNNNNNNNNNNNNNNNNNNNNNNNNNNNNNNNNNNNNNNNNNNNNNNNNNNNNNNNNNNNNGAAACUUUAGUAGCAAAAAUAAUUUUCAUAAAGAAUUUUUUUGAUACAAACUAAAAUACAAAAUCAGUUUUUUAAUAUAUUGAUAAAACGCAGUAAUAUUAAAUAGCAGGAAAAAGAAUCACUCAAAAUAUAUUUUUAUAGUGAAGUUAUUUACAAACUAGUGAUUAACACAAAUUUCAAAGAAUUCUAAUUUGGAAACUAAUGGCACUAACAGAAAGUUUAUAAUUAUUCUGACCUAAAAGAAAAAAAAUAAAAAAAUAAAGUGAAAAUUAAAAGAAAAUAAAUAAUUCAAAAAAACAAAAAAAAUACUGGAAAAAAAUUAAAAAAAUGCCGCCUACUGGGCCACACGGCCUCCAUACGACUAGAAACUCAUUUGUACAAGGACCAGGAUGCAGGCCCGCAGGCCCAAUAGGCGCAACAUGGCAGUGACAAGGGUAGGCAAGUACUGCCUGCAUAUUAGAGAGGAGCUCAGCACCUGAGCCGCAACGCAGCUUAUAAACAGGUGCUGAGCUCUCUCAGCUAGCGAGGUGGGACUAAACUCCCACCACACCACCGCUGUGACAGCCUCUGGUCCCGGUUGGUGGGACGAACCGGUACGAAUACCCCCCUUUGGUCCUGGUUCGUAGCACCAACCGGGACCAAUACCCCCCUUUGGUCCCGGUUCGUGCCACCAACCGGGACCAAAGGUCUCUUUUCAGCAUGUCAAAAAGGUCUUUUUGUUCAUAUAUAGAAAGUUUUUAUAUAUGACUAUGGAUAUAUGAGCAAGUAUGAUCCAUGGAUUUAUGCAUUGAUAUAUAUAUAUAUAUAUAUAUAUAUGUGUGAGAAAUGAUGUUCAUAGAAUAUUUACCAAGUAUAUAUGUAUUUUUUCAUAUAUGCAUUUUUUUCAUAGCAUUUUUUCUAUUUAUAUAUGUGUGUGGCUAUAGAUGGAUAUAUAUAUAUAUAUAUAUAUGAGAAAUGAUGAUCCAUGGAUGUAUGUAUGUAUGUGGAUACAUGAGGGGGGGGCGGUCGAUAUACCCCCUCUCCGAUAACAUUUCCUUCUUCAUAUGUUGAUUUAGUUGAUUUAGGUUAGUGCAUUUUAGGUUAGUUGAUUUAUAGUGCAUUAUAGUUGAAAAAGAAGAAGAAGGAAAAUAAGAAAAAAAAAUAAGAAGAGGAAGAAGGAGAAGAAGAAAGGAGAAGAAGAGGAGAGGAGAAAAAAACAAGAAGAGAAAAAAAAAA